rnacentral:rRNA from 1 species
CGGUAAUACGGAGGGUGCGAGCGUUAAUCGGAAUUACUGGGCGUAAAGCGCAUGCAGGUGGUUUGUUUAAGUUCAGAUGUGAAAGACCCGGGGCGUCAACCUCCGGAAUAGCAUUUGUAAACUAGACAGACUAGAGUACUGUAGAGGGGGGUAGGAAUUUCUAGGUGUAGCGGUGAAAUAGCGUAGAGAUCUGAAGGAAUACCGGUGGCGAAGGCGGCCCCCUCGGACAGAUACUGACACUCAGAUGCGAAAGCGUGGGGAGCAAACAGGAUUAGAUACCCUGGUAG